rnacentral:rRNA from 1 species
UACAGAGGUGGCAAGCGUUGUUCGGAAUUACUGGGCGUAAAGGGCGCGUAGGCGGCCAACUAAGUCAGACGUGAAAUCCCUCGGCUUAACCGGGGAACUGCGUCUGAUACUGGAUGGCUAGAGGUUGGGAGAGGGAUGCGGAAUUCCAGGUGUAGCGGUGAAAUGCGUAGAUAUCGGGAGGAACACCAGUGGCGAAGGCGGCGAUCUGGGCAGAUACUGACGCUGAGGUGCGAAAGCGUGGGGAGCAAACAGG